UUCUUACCUUUGCCGCGCUGUUAUAUAGGUCUGUAAUGGGUCAGGCGUUUCUACCGGCUACCGCAAAUAGCCGUCUAUGGCAGUUGUUAUAUAAUGU
rnacentral:ncRNA from 2 species